CUGCUGUCUAAAGAAAUAACACUCUUUAGCUCACAAAGACACUUGCACAUCAUAUUUCUAUUUUGAUUACGUGUGUCACAGGACCUGAUUUACUGCUGGACAGAGGCUUGACUGAGAUCAGCACAGAUCAAUUGAGCGUUGUCCUGAUCAAGCUCUGGAUGGGAGUACAUGUUUUCACAGAAGACCAAGAGUACAGUGCAAAAGAAAAGACAUCAGUGCCUAGGGUAUGGAAUUAGGAGAGCUUGAGAAGUCUUCUCCAUGAGGCAACAACAUUAUUCCAAGUCUGUUGAUGCCUCCAGACACACUGCUUUCAAACCCAGGUGCCUCUAAAUGUAGGAGUGAAGUUCUUUGAGCCAUGCUUCAGAGUUUGACCCUGGACAAGUAAAAGAGGGUCUGUGCCUAAAUAAAGGAGAACACAU
ensembl:lncRNA